rnacentral:rRNA from 1 species
AGUGAACGUUGGCGGCGUUGGAUUAGGCAUGCAAGUCGAGCGAUCGUAGCAAUACGGGAGCGGCAAACGGGUAGGAAUACAUCGGAACGUACCUUUUGGUUGUAGAAUAGCGUUGGGAAACUGACGGUAAUACUCAAUAAAGUCGAGAGACCAAAGGUUUACUGCCGGAAGAGCGGCCGAUGCGAUAUUAGGUAGUUGGUGGGGUAAUGGCCUACCAAGCCUGAGAUGUCUAGGGGGUGUGAGAGCAUGGCCCCCACCACUGGGACUGAGAUACUGCCCAGACACCUACGGGUGGCUGCAGUCGAGGAUCUUCGUCAAUGGGCGAAAGCCUGAACGAGCGACGCCGCGUGCGGGAUGAAGGCCCUUGGGUUGUAAACCGCUGUCAGGGGGGAUGAAACCGUAAGGUUGACAGAGCCCCAGAGGAAGCACGGGCUAAGUUCGUG